GACUGGGGGUGGUACGGGAGGUGGGAUGGAGGAGUCUCCUCCUCCAUCCCACCUCCCGUACCACCUCCAGUC